ACACUUCUGAAGAGUCCCAUAAUAGGACGAAACGGUCGUCGAGUGU
rnacentral:hammerhead_ribozyme from 1 species